UUACCCAAAUCCCCUUCUCAGUUUCGUUCCACUAUAUCUCGAUCUGUUACCUCAGUCUCUCUCAACCGCUGUGCUCCUUCUCUCAACCCCUAAACCCCAUCGUGUCGCCACCAUCCCUGGCGCGCCGCUGCCGCUCUUGUUUUUCAUCGUUCAACACUUUGGCUCAAGGUUCUUGGCCGCACGUACAACUGAGGUCAGUGGUUCUCCAUCCUCGAUCUGUUAACGCUGAGGAAGGCCAGCGACUCCAAUUUCUUCUCUACGCCUUCCAAACGCAUCCUUGCGAGAAGGCCUAGCCUCUUCAUCCUCCUCCCCUGCACAUUGGCCGCUCACGGUGGCGGAAGGUCUCAUUGCAGAUGACAUUGAAUCUAAAAAAUAUCGGUGGAUGGGAAGUGCUCGUCUAGAUUUUUAUGUUAGGUCUCUGUCGAUUAAUAAAUCUGAGGCAAUACAAUGGAUGUGUUUCUUUCGUGCCUGCACCUGGGUUUGAGGAUUAUGGGGAGCCAACUACUUACCCUGGAAAACCUACCAGCAAAGGUGACAGCAGUGAUCCCAGUGAAGUGGAGCCCGUUAAUUUGCAAAGACUUUGUUAUACUUAUCAAGGACCUGAAAUAAACUUGGAAAAUCUGAAUUGGAGAGUUAUAAAUGGACCCUUUGUUUCUGUCUGGCUUCACAACCUUGGGGUGCAGAAGACACAAUGGCAGCACCUGACGCAAAGGUAUAUUUCAGGGCUAAGGUUAUCUUUGGAUUAAAUGCUCUUGUGGGAAAACAUGUAAAUCUCAGUUCUGCUAUUGGACCUUGGAGCUAAGUCAAUGCUAUCUCUUAUAUGUUACUGGCACAAUAAGACUAUAAUUGAUAAUGAUUAUCUUUAGGCUCUCAUCAUCUUUAUCACAAGGCACGUGUGCACUUGAAAAUGAUAAAAUUUCUUCCCCAAAUUUUAUUUCUGAUAUGAAUAUUUGUAGAUGGUACCGGAUUAAGAUUACUGUGAGAUGGAAGGAAAGAACAGUGAAGAUGGCUUUUUUUUUAAUUCUUGCUAGAGUUGUUCAAUGUGAAGGUAAUUCAUCUUAAGUUGGGGGAAGGUGUAUUAAUUUUCUCAAUAUUGUGAUGAAUUUUAUAAACAGAUUAGGUCACUUCAGAUUGUGACAAGGAAAAAUUACAAGAAAGAUUAGCCAAGAUUUCUGGGGGUGUUGCAGUGCUUAAGGUAUGGAUAUUUAAGUUGACCUUGCUUGCUUAAUUAUGGGUUAGUUUCUUUUCUGUAUUCCAUAUUCAUUUUUUCUAUUCUUUACAAUAAAAUACAAAAUAGUUAGUAAUUUUAUGAUUUAGAGAUAGGUGAAGUUAAGGACGUGGUUGAUAUGCUUUAGAAAUUGUUGAUUUUAUGGCUGAACUAGCAUGGUAGGUGAUGGCAUAUAGGAAUAAAAGAAAAA